GCCUCUUUAGCUUAACUGGAUAGAGUAUCUCCCUCCUAUUUAUAGGAUUUAAAAAGAGAUAGGAGUGUGAUGGGAGUUCGAGUCUCCCAGGAGGCG
rnacentral:tRNA from 1 species